GAAGGAUAGAGUACAAACUGUUGAUGUAAAAUUAAAUCAGAAAUGGAAAAUAAUAUUAUCUUUUUUGUUUUGCCGAGUGCAAGAAGAAGAAGAAGAAUGGCGCUACGGAUAGGUUCUUCCACGGCGCCACUCAACUUCAGCUUUAACUUCAAAUGGCGCCCGCGCCCCAACUCAGUAGUUUCAUUCCCAAUCCACGAAUCCAAUCGCGUCAGAGCCGCUGUUAUUCUCUGCCGCGCCGCCAAUUCACACUCUGGUCCCGUCCAGAAACGAAACUCGUCCGCCGCCAAUACUAAGAAGAAGAAGAAAAACAAGAACAAGACUAACUCUGCACCCGAAUCUGACGAUUCUAACCCUUUGAGUUUCACUAAGUUUGAUAUUCCGCACGAUUUUGACGAUGACGGCCUCGAAUAUGGCGCUUCUGAUUCGGAUUUCGAUUUGGAUUUGGAUUACCGACCUUCUUCUUCUUCUUCUCCUAUGCCGCUGCCAGAACCGCCAGCUGGAUUCCUCGUAGGCGACGACGGCAAGGUUCUCCUUACUUCAACAAAUCGACUUGCCACCAUUGUUGAUCCAUCCAACAAGCUUCCAUUGGAGUGUGUUAUAAGGAGAGUCUUCAGAAGUUCUGAUGGAGACGAGUGUUUGUUGCUCUGCCCAGUCGACACGCCAGUCCAGAUAUUAAAGAGCACCAAUGUUGAUGGAUGGUCAGCUAUCAGUGAUGAGGAAGUUGAAUCUAUUCUUCCAGCUGCAGCUUAUGCACUUGCCAAGAUACACAUGCAUCUUGUUCAUAGUGGGUACUGUUAUACAGCACGUGGUGGUUUUUGCUACUCAGAAGAAGACAUAUUUGACUUUCACACAGAUGAUGGUAAGGAAGUUGAUGGUUUGCCAACUGAAGGUGUGGAAAUUACGUAUUUCAAUUUGGAAGGUGCCCAGUACAUGAUUUAUACGCCAUCUGAUCCACUUCUUUUUGUUGCUGUCAAGGACGAGAAGGGGAUGCUACAAAUUGCCGAUGAUGACUUGCUUGAAGAUCCUGCCAUCAUAGAUGCGAUAGAUGAGGAGACGGAAUUUAAUGCCUUGGUGGAAGAAGAAGCUGCACUUCAUGAUUCAAUGAUGGAUGAGAGUUAACUUAUGUACUUUUUUUGGCAAUCUUACUUACAGUAUUUAGUUUUCCACUGUCUUGUGUAUAUGAUCAAAUUUUGUAAGUGUGCUAUAUUUUAUAGUUGACAAAUGGGAUAUAGACUUUCACGUCUGGAGGAUGUUCGAGAAUUCCCUCACUUGAACCCCAACAUAAUGUUUCUUUUAAAUGACAAGCAAAAAUGCAUCAGGGACGCGUUCGUGGAUAGUGGUACGACUGAAUGAAUAAAUACGUCUCAGGUUACGGUACACCUAUGUGUUCAAUACAUUAAUAAAUGAAUACAAUACAAAACCA